rnacentral:rRNA from 1 species
UACGGGGGGGGGGGCAAGCGUUGUUCGGAAUUACUGGGCGUAAAGGGCUCGUAGGUGGCCAACUAAGUCGGACGUGAAAUCCCUCGGCUUAACCGGGGAACUGCGUCUGAUACUGGAUGGCCUGAGUUCGGGAGAGGGAUGCGGAAUUCCAGGUGUAGCGGUGAAAUGCGUAGAUAUCUGGAGGAACACCGGUGGCGAAGGCGGCAUCCUGGACCGAUACUGACGCUGAGGAGCGAAAGCCAGGGGAGCAAACGGG